GCCUUUAUAGGAUGUCAUAUAAAUGAGCCUGGCUUCUUUCACCCACCAUAAUGCAUUUGAGAUUCAUCUAUCUUGUUGAAUACAUCUGUAGUUAGGCUUGUUACUCACAGAAUCAACUAGAGGUUAUGAGACAUGAACAGCUGGCUAUAGAGAUUAUGUCAAAGAAAAUAAUAUGCUUUAUUUUUAAGAUCAUGACUUAUGACACCAAAAUGAAAUGCUCUUGGCAAGGAAUAGUUUUACUCAAUGAGAUGUUCCACUGCACUAAAUCCCUUACACCUCAGGAAAAGGUGAUCUUUCCUCAUCCUCCUCUACCUAAGUCUUCAAAUGUGUAAUGCUCUACACGGGGCAAGACAUUUUCCCCUGAUUUCUUCACAGCAAUCACUUUGUGCUCUGAAGCAUGAGAUUCAAUUACCCAUAUAAAUACACACCUAGCCCAGAACUGAGGAGCUCAAGAAGGAUACAUGCCAGGAUCUGGACAAGUUGCAAGUCUGGGUGAUACAGCACACGCAUAAGGUGAGCCAGCAGAUCAGCAGCAAAACCCAUGAGUUGCCAUUGUUCCCAGUGUCGUACGCCAGGCUUCAGGGCACAAAAGUGGAUGCUGCUUCAUGUCUGCUUUCCAAAUACUGAACACAUUUCUCUUGUCACUAAACCUAAUCUAGUAGCGGACAAGGAAGGGAAUUGUAAAAGUAGUUUCAGCUUAACUAGUUUGAAAGCAUGCAUAGCCACCAGAAAGAAUCCACUCCUUACUAGCUUGGCAUCCACAUGCUCCUCUUUUCAUCACACUUAACUUCCAAAUAAGGAAAAGAGGAAAAUCACGCUUUACCUAAUUUUUUGUAACCAUCACUCAGAAAAUGGAAAAUAUGCCAUUACUUUCCCCAAAAGAGGAUUCAAAGCCCUUUGUUCAUUUGUGGGUGAUGUUCAUUCCUUGUCUGAUUCUGACAUACCAUCUACCAACCUUUGAUGUGCUGUAAUUAAAAUAGGGAGCUAUCAAAAUAUAGAAUAUAGGAAAUAUAGA
rnacentral:lncRNA from 1 species